UGCCGGGUAGUGUAAUGGUAGCACGCAUGGCUCUGGACCAUGAAAUCUAGGUCCGAAUCCUAGCCCGGCAG
rfam:Candidatus Giovannonibacteria bacterium RIFCSPHIGHO2_01_FTLL_45_23 rifcsphigho2_01_scaffold_745, whole genome shotgun sequence.